rnacentral:tRNA from 1 species
AAGGUACUAGUAAAACUAUUACACUUCCUUGUCAAGGAAGAGUUGUGGGUUAAACCCCCAUGUACUUUG